UACGAAGGGGACUAGCGUUGUUCGGAAUUACUGGGCGUAAAGCGCACGUAGGCGGAUGUGUCAGUCAGGGGUGAAAUCCCGGAGCUCAACUUCGGAACUGCCUUUGAUACAGCACGUCUUGAGUCCGAUAGAGGUGGGUGGAAUUCCUAGUGUAGAGGUGAAAUUCGUAGAUAUUAGGAAGAACACCGGGUGGCGAAGGCGGCCCACUGGAUCGGUACUGACGGCUGAGGUGCGAAAGCGUGGGGAGCAAACAGG
rnacentral:rRNA from 1 species